rnacentral:rRNA from 1 species
GGGGAGCAUGUGGUUUAAUUCGAAGCAACGCGAAGAACCUUACCAGGCCUUGACAUGUUGAGAACUUUCCAGAGAUGGCGGGGUGCCUUAGGGAAAUCAGACACAGGUGUUGCAUGGCGGUGGUCAGCUCGUGUCUUGAGAUGUUGGGUUAAGUCCCGUAACGAGCGCAACCCUUGUCCUUAGUUACCAGCACGUUAUGGUGGGCACUUUAAGGAGACUGCCGGUGACAAACCGGAGGAAGGUGGGGAUGACGUCAAGUCAUCAUGGCCCUUACGGCCUGGGCUACACACGUGAUACAAUGGUCGGUACAAAGGGUUGCCAAGCCGCGAGGUGGAGCUAAUCCCAUAAAACCGUAUCGUAGUCCGGAUCGCAGUCUGCAACUCGACUGCGUGAAGUCGGAAUCGCUAGUAUCCGUUCAGCCA